GGGCCAGUGGCGCAAUGGAUAACGUGUCUGACUAUGGAUCAGAAGAUUCUAGGUUCGACUCCUGGCUGGCUCG
rfam:Salmo salar isolate Sally breed double haploid chromosome ssa12, whole genome shotgun sequence.